UACGAAGGGUGCAAGCGUUACUCGGAAUUACUGGGCGUAAAGCGUGCGUAGGUGGUUUGUUAAGUCUGAUGUGAAAGCCCUGGGCUCAACCUGGGAAUUGCAUUUGUGACUGCAUCGCUGGAGUGCGGCAGAGGGGGAUGGAAUUCCGCGUGUAGCAGUGAAAUGCGUAGAUAUGCGGGAGGAACACCGAUGGCGAAGGCAAUCCCCUGGGCCUGCACUGACGCUCGAUGCACGAAAGCGUCGGGGAGCAAACAGG
rnacentral:rRNA from 1 species